rnacentral:rRNA from 1 species
UACGUAGGGUGCAAGCGUUAAUCGGAAUUACUGGGCGUAAAGCGUGCGCAGGCGGCUUUGCAAGACAGAUGUGAAAUCCCCGGGCUUAACCUGGGAACUGCAUUUGUGACUGCAUGGCUGGAGUGCGGCAGAGGGGGAUGGAAUUCCCGGUGUAGCGGUGAAAUGCGCAGAUAUCGGGAGGAACACCAGCGGCGAAGGCGGCACUCUGGGCCGACACUGACGCUGAGGAGCGAAAGCGUGGGGAGCGAACAGG